rnacentral:rRNA from 1 species
CACGGCGCACGGGUGCGUAACACGUGGGCAAUCUGCCCUCCGAUGGGGAAUAACUCCGGGAAACCGAAGCUAAUUCCGCAUAACAUUCCCUGGACUCCGGUUCGGGGAUUCAAAGCAGCAAUGCGUCGGAGGAGGAGCCCGCGCCCGAUUAGCUAGUUGGUGAGGUAACGGCUCACCAAGGCUAUGAUCGGUAGCUGGUCUGAGAGGAUGGCCAGCCACACUGGAACUGAGACACGGUCCAGACUCCUACGGGAGGCAGCAGUGGGGAAUCUUGCGCAAUGGGCGAAAGCCUGACGCAGCGACGCCGCGUGGGGGAUGAAGCUUCUCGGAGUGUAAACCCCUUUCGACCGGGACGAAUGCCCGCAAGGGAGUGACGGUACCGGUAGAAGAAGCCCCGGCUAACUACGUGCCAGCAGCCGCGGUAAGACGUAGGGGGCCAGCGUUGUUCGGAAUUACUGGGUGUAAAGGGUUCGUAGGCGGUGUGGCAAGUCGGGAGUGAAAGUUCUGGGCUUAACCCAGAACCUGCUUCCGAAACUGCUGUGCUCGAGUGUGGGAGAGGCGCGUGGAAUUGCGGGUGUAGCGGUGAAAUGCGUAGAUAUCUGCAGGAACACCCGUGGCGAAAGCGGCGCGCUGGACCAUUACUGACGCUGAGGAACGAAAGCUAGGGGAGCAAACAGGAUUAGAUACCCUGGUAGUCCUAGCCCUAAACGAUCAGGACUUGGGGUGCCACCCGUUCGGGUGUCGUCCCGGAGCUAACGCGUUAAGUCCUGCACCUGGGGAGUACGGUCGCAAGACUGAAACUCAAAGGAAUUGACGGGGGCCCGCACAAGCGGUGGAACAUGUGGUUCAAUUCGA